rnacentral:rRNA from 1 species
GAUGAACGCUGGCGGCGUGCCUAAUACAUGCAAGUCGAGCGAACGGACGAGAAGCGUGCUUCUCUGAUGUUAGCGGCGGACGGGUGAGUAACACGUGGAUAACCUACCUAUAAGACUGGGAUAACUUCGGGAAACCGGGGCUAAUACCGGAUAAUAUUUUGAACCGCAUGGUUCAAAAGUGAAAGACGGUCUUGCUGUCACUUAUAGAUGGAUCCGCGCUGCAUUAGCUAGUUGGUAAGGUAACGGCUUACCAAGGCAACGAUGCAUAGCCGACCUGAGAGGGUGAUCGGCCACACUGGAACUGAGACACGGUCCAGACUCCUACGGGAGGCAGCAGUAGGGAAUCUUCCGCAAUGGGCGAAAGCCUGACGGAGCAACGCCGCGUGAGUGAUGAAGGUCUUCGGAUCGUAAAACUCUGUUAUUAGGGAAGAACAUAUGUGUAAGUAACUGUGCACAUCUUGACGGUACCUAAUCAGAAAGCCACGGCUAACUACGUG